rnacentral:misc_RNA from 1 species
CUUCUCAAACCCUUCUCGUCCUAGUGGCAGAACCUCUAGCUACGCAUUACCCAUCAUACCCUUCCGCACUUCGCCUGUCUCUACCUCCUGCCAUCCCCGAUACAGCCGCCGACAGCUCUCUCCGUUCUUUUCAAACUCUUCACGCCUGCCUGCUUUCCUUUCACAGCACUGCCUCCGCCGCAGACACACACAAACGCGUUAAGAGCGCCAGUGAAAGAGGAGGUCUACGUGAGGACGCGUGGGCACGAGAGAGGAAGACAGGGAAAGGCGCGCGGCUAUUCGGUUAACGAAGUGUCCCUUUCCCUUUGUUUUGUGUUUUCGUUUCGUCUCCUCUCCAUUCUCGGCUUGCGACAAAACUAGUGGAGCGGGAGGAGGGGGAGAGAGGAGGACGAGGAAGAACGCCGCUGUCGCCCUUCCCUCACUGCCGCCUGGCUCAUCUCUCUUGCCGCGCUCGGUGCUCUGCGAAACGUCCAUUUGCUGCUGCUGCUUUCUUCCCUGCCCCUUUUCCCUACGAUCAUUCUGCUUCUGGAUUGUUGUUGUCGCUUCUCCCACCUCACCCCCACCCCUCCCGUUGUUCGUCUUUGACCCCGACUACGGGUGUGGGCCCUUUUCUUGUGGCCCGCGCGCGUGUCUGUGCUCCACGCAUCGCGGCUCAGUAUCCAUCCAUCCUAUAUUCCUCCACACACUGCUGCCUCUGGUGCCGUCUACCCCUCACUCGCCACUCUCGUGUUGAUCCUUUUUUUUUUCGUUUUCGCUCACACGUUUCUUCGUGCGUGCUUCCGCACUUCGCCUCUGCUCACCGGCAGCGCGUGCUGCUCCUGCUUCUCCCCUCCCUCUUCCUCGACCUUUUGACGGCUUGGACUGCCAUAGCGGCAGCGUUGUCGAACUCCCCACACGCACACGCUGCCCAUUGCCCACUGCCCACCACCACACUCCGAGUGCGCACAGACGGAGGCAAGGGAAAGUUGAUGUAUGUACGUGUGCUCACGCUAUCUGCGCUGCUUCUUUCACUCGUUGAGGGCACGGCUGCCUCUCUCUCUCUCUUGCCUGUGUCUUUUCCUUUUUCUCUCCCCUUCCCCUCUCUUUGUCCUCCCAACCUUCCCUUUACCCAUCCGAUGUUCUACUCAGGCUGGGAGCUGCUCGCGCCAGCGUUCAUGAACGUUGGCGCUCUUUCUGCAGAGCUGCGCCACAGCAACACGACCGCGGACGCCGCAGCAGCAUACCUCACUCAGGACCUCUUGCUGGGCAACGACGAUACCGAUGGAUCCGCGUCAGCAACGCCGCAGCGGCAGCACCAGCAGUCGAGCACCGAAGCAGCGGCACACAUGUCUGCGUCCCCCGGCGACGGCGACGAUGUAGCGCGACACACACCGUCAAGCCCCUCGCCGGCCAACAAAGAGCGUCUCUGCGCGCUGCCACACCGCGCACAGAGGCGGCGCACUCACAGCAACGUGGCAAAGGAGACGGGCUGCGUGCUGCACCUCGCCGCGAGGCCCGCCCUCUCAUUCAAAGAGAUGGAGCAGCAGCUGCACCGCCGCACGACCGGGUCCUCAGAUUGCUUCCAUGUAAAGAGCAACGCACCUGCCAUAUCACAGGCGGCGGUGGUGUUUAUGGAGUGUGUCGUCACGUGGCCAUCGGUGCAGCAGGCGGCCGACGCCGCCGGCGCCGGUGCCGCAGAACGAAAUGCGCAUCGUGACAACUCCGCCGUGUCGCCGACGGCUAGCGCUACCAGCAAGCCGACGCUACCGGCGCUGGUGCUGGGGGUCUGCCAGCGAUCCCUGGAGUGGUACAGCCUGCCCGGGGAAGCGGAAAACAGCGUUGGCUUCUAUGUGGCACAGCGCCUGAUCGUCAAGAACGGCUACGAGGACGGGGACGCCGUGAAGCUGCCGGAUGACGGGCGCAGCGGGGCUGGUGGCAGUCGCGUGAACUUCGGUGAUCACGUCGGUUGCCUUAUCGACCUCGUUCGCCACCAGCUCGCCUUCACGGUGAACAAAGACAUCGUCUCCACCCUCCCACUCGAGCCUUCACUGGCGGACGGCAGCUAUUACUUCGCCAUUGGCCUCGCUCGACGCCCACAGCAAGCCACUGACGUAGUGGUGCGAUUUUACAGCGGUGCGCAGUGCCUGAGUCAAGACGUGCCUCUCCGAAGGGGUGAGUUGCCCCUGCCUCAUCAGCAGCAGAGACAGCUGCCUGUGUUCCCGCUGGCCAAGUACGUGCGCGAGUUGGCACUCCAGUCGGUGGGACGCUGCACCACUUUUAUGUCAGGGCAAGAGGGCGAGUCGCACAUUCGACGGAGUGCAGCCGCACCCUCGAGUGAGCAGCAUUCGGGCGGUGGCUCGACGGUGGCAGCAGCCCAUCGCUACACGAAGGGAAAGCGGCCUGAUGUGCGCACUGUCAAUGCAUCCUGCGGCAGACAAAUGCCCCUGGCCCCAGAGACACUCCGCGACACGCGCGUCACGGCCGUCCUGCGCGACUACCUCUCCGUUCGUGGCAUGACAGGCGCGCUGCAGACGCUGGAUGCCGAGCUGCAUGAGCUUGCUCCUGCACAGAGUCAGCUGUACGCCACUGCAGCGGGUGCCGCUGGUAGGGGUCCUGCUGGCCCGUCGUCAUCGCCACCCUCUGCGCCUGUCUCUGCACGUGCGCACCUUUCACAUGUUCUCUGGCGCCCCCCAACGCCAGGCGAAGCGCAGGAAGCGUGGCAGUGUUACGCGGCAGACAUGAGUCGCCUUCGUACGGCACUACUGCAAGAGGUGGCCUGUAGUGCCGACGGCGCACCGACUCUGCCCCUCUCCGCGCUUCUCGGCCAGCUGAUGUUGUGGCGUCCGUCACUCGCCUACGCCUUCGCCUCCGUAUUCGACAGCCAUGUGGCGGCCGCGUCAGCGGGCGGCGGUGUUGGGGUGAGUGGCAAACACCCCAGAAGCGGUUCUGGCGCGACGAUGCCGCUCUCGCCAUACGACUGGGUGAGGCGCGUCGUUCAUCCCUCUCUGUUCACAUUGAGUAUGCUGGGGCUUCGCCAAGACAUUCGCUACCUCGUGCAGUCCUAUCAGGCGGUGGAGGAGCUGUGGGGCAUCCUGCAGACGUAUUUGCGCGCGGCGCGUGCGGCGUGUCAGCAGACACACGCGGACCCCCAUGGUCAUUGCGCGCAGCAGCCGCAGCGGCUUUCCUUCGCAAACGGCAAGGAGGAGGCGUUGCCGGCAGAGCGUGGCACGAACGGCAGCAACAGCAAGCCCGGCACUACGAAGAGCCCUGCUUCUCAUCAGGGGAUGGCAGGCAAGAGCUCGUUCUGCCACUCUCGCAUUUUCUCCAACGCGUCUUUCGCGCCCACGCCCGAGGCGGAGCGGCAGGCGCAAGCCGCCUUUACGUCUUAUUUCACGCAACUCGUAUGGAACCCGGCACGCGUGCUUCCUUCUCCCAUGACGCACAUUUGCCGCGCCUCACCGCUCUCUGGUGGUACAGGUGCAGCUGCACGCGCAAGCUCACGUGACGCGCUCGCACCGGCGUCCCUCGAUGCGCUGGCGGCGCUGGCCGGCCGCGCAGACGCCGGUAUCGUCCCUCACUCCAAGAGGACGCCCUCCGCCCCGUACGGCGGUCGCAUCCGCCGCCGUGCGGAUGCAGAUGUGGAUACAGAUGCAGAUGCAGAGGACUUCCGCGCCUGUGCGGCCGCGUGUGCUGCUUCGGUACGACUAGGCACAUCAACUGCAGCUGGCGGCAACGGCAACGCGUCGCAGGAACGGCACCGACAACCGUCGUCGCAACAGCCACAGCCGCAGCAGCGGCCGCUCUACAUAGCGCAUGUGGAAGAGGCAAUUUUGGUCCUCUACCGCGGAGCUGUUGUACCGGCCCCAGCGCCGUCGCGCUCCUCGCAGGUGUGCCUCCUGCAGACGCUGUCAAGUCUUCACACGCAUACUGUUAGCACGCUGCGGCAGAUGGAGCGGUUCGUGCGGCAUGGCGGGGGCAGCACCGGCUUCGCAGAUCGCACUGCCCUGGACUCGAUCGAUCUACUGGACACGCUCCUGCGCACCGUGCAGCAUCGCUACCGGCAGCAAGUGUGGCGGCGUCUCGUGCACGCAGUGGAGGACGUCAACCAACAGCUGGAGGGACGGCUGCGGAGUUGGGGAGCUGUGGCGCAGCAGCCGCAGAGGAUGCAACCUUCGCUAGCUAUGCCAUCAUCGUCUCAGGUGCCGCCGGUGAUUGCAGGGCCGAGACGGUGGCAUGCGUGUCUGGACGGCUGGCUUGAGGAAGAAGACAAUGCCGAAGACGGUGAAGACAUCGAUCGCGACGCGGCUGUCCCAGAGGACGACGAGGCCACACAGCGGCGGUCGCCGGUGAGGUCGCUAAUGGACGGCUUUUCGUCCUUCAGAGCAGGCGAGACGCCGACCCAUGAGGCACUGGUCGCCAGAAAGGAGGGUGAAGGCGACCAGCCGUCACCGGCGGAGGCCACGCGGCAGAUGCCUGCCUUCCCCAGCUACGAGGACCUGACAACGUUUAUGCCGUCCCUCCGCUCGCUCUGGCGACGUGUGGAGGCGCGAGCAGCGCUAGAGCCGUCCUUGCACCUCGUCACGGAACUCUUUGUUCAGGAGUUGCGGCGGUCGUUGGACUUGGCUCCCGCGCUGGGGUGGCGCGCGAGGACAUCCACAGCGCCGUGUGCUACUCCGAACCCUGGGCCGGCCUCCUCAGCCGCUGUCUCCACAGAGGCCGUCACUUCACCACUGGCGGCCGUGAAGUCAGAGCCGAAAGUGGUGACAGUGAAGCGCCCCUUAAGUGUAGCGUCUGGCCGGAGCAGCGUGAGCUCCAACACCAUCAGUGCUCUGCCUCCACGCACGGCGCGGCCAUCUGGCAUGGGUGGCGCGGAGGAUGACGAGGCAGCGGCGCCGGAGGGUGAUGAGGCGGAGGCGGUGGCUCGCUGGUUCGCUGAGGAGCUUUACCUCGGUUCCAUGUACAUGAAGCGUGUUUUCAAGCACAUGUCUGGUUGCUGAGGGUACCGUACGGCGUCGGCACUCGCGCACGCAGUGCAAGGAGGGGGACGCGUAUCUCGGUGCAGCUAUACAUACUUCCAGCAGUGCACUGGGUUGCCCUGUCUCUGUGGUGCAGUCUGUGAAGAGCGAAGAGCAAAGGAAGGAGAGGGAGGUGCAUCAGCAGCCAUGUGCAAGGAGGGUGGACAGGGGCAGCCGGCGCAGCAGGGACGAGGACACAGUACGUUUGGUGGGAUGAAGCGUGGCUUCAGGGGGCGAGGCGUCAAGGAGUUGAGAUGCGGCAGUCUGUCCUUUGGGUGGGUAGAUGGGGGGCGUUCACGGUACGGUGUGCAUGUCUGAUGUUUGCCCAGGUAUGUGUACUCGCGCGUCGGCAUACUGUCUCCAUCCUCUCGCUCUCCGUUCCCCUGCUCUCUCUCCUCUCAGGGACCGGCGAAUGGUUGCUGCGGCUGCGGCUGAGGCUCGCAUACUCUCGCCCACUCACGUCUUCGCCCCUCCAGUUUUCGCUUUUCUUUGUCUUUGGGUGCUGCACCUCUUCUCGUUGUGUUUGCGUGGUUUCGCAUGCGCGUGUGCUGAGUGGCAUCGACUGUGAUGAGGGUAGCACGACAUUGGUGAAGGGGAGGUGGAGGGCGAAAGGGUUGAGCAUGUCAUGUCAAUCGACAUCCACAAAUACAUACACACGCACACACGCAGGCGUGCUCUUACCGCGCACUCAUUGCUUCGAGGGUGGGCGUUCGUUCACGCAUCUCUCCUCUUUCCUUUUUCUUUUCCUUUUCCUUCGGUGCGUCGCAUGCAAGUCUGAUGUUGCAUCGAAAAGCAAGCAGCGAUGGUAGUCAAGGAGGUGCAGGGAGAGGGGGCGGAGGUGUGGUGCUUCACCUCCUCCUCUAUUGGACAUUACGCAACAGCAAACACGAAAAAAAAACACGAGCAACAUGUGGACGCGAGGCUUAUGAAGUCCACUGCCGCACACAGUCUCCCUCUCUAUCUCGUCUCCAUCUGGGCAGAAGUGUGCUUUACUCCGACGUGUAUGCGUGUGUGUGCUGGCAGUCUUCUGUCGUACUUCGCAGAGGAGAGCAAGGAAAAGGGGGGAGGAGGGCAGAAAGGGAUACUCGUGUGCGCGAGAUUCUGCGAGGAAGGGGGAAUGGGUACGGCGGCGACUGUCCUGAGACCCCUUCACCCCCACUCUUUCCUUUGCCGUGGAUCUCUCCGUCAUCAGCGCCUGCCCGCCAACGUCGACAUGGCAUGUGUCCGUGUUAUCUCAGCCGUCGCCUCAACUCCUUCCCUCUCACCUCUCUCGCCCAUCCCCCUCCACAAUCGUGUUGGCGGGAGGGUUCAUGUGACGAGUGGAAACUAUUUUGACCGCUCCCUUCCUUUUUCGUAUUUCCGUUGUGUGGCCGAAG